UACGGGGGGGCAAGCGUUGUUCGGAAUUACUGGGCGUAAAGGGCUCGUAGGCGGCCAACUAAGUCAGACGUGAAAUCCCUCGGCUUAACCGGGGAACUGCAUCUGAUACUGGAUGGCUUGAGUUCGGGAGAGGGAUGCGGAAUUCCAGGUGUAGCGGUGAAAUGCGUAGAUAUCUGGAGGAACACCGGUGGCGAAGGCGGCAUCCUGGACCGACACUGACACUGAGGAGCGAAAGCGUGGGGGAUCAAACAGG
rnacentral:rRNA from 1 species